rnacentral:rRNA from 1 species
GGAAUAUUCCACAAUGGGCGAAAGCCUGAUGGAGCGACGCCGCGUGAGUGAAGAAGGGCUUCGGCUCGUAAAGCUCUUUUCUAGAGGACGAAUGGCGCAUUGGAGGCGCAGGGACGGUACUCUGGGAAUAAGCCACGGCUAACUACGUUCCAGCAGCCGCGGUAAUACGUAGGUGGCAAGCGUUGUCCGGAAUUAUUGGGCGUAAAGGGAGCGCAGGCGGGACGGUAAGUCCAAAUUAAAAGUGCAGGAGUAAUGCCUGUGAUGGUUUGGAAACUAUCGUUCUUGAGAGCAGGAGAGGCAAGCGGAAUUCCCAGUGUAGCGGUGAAAUGCGUAGAUAUUGGGAGGAACACCAGUGGCGAAGGCGGCUUGCUGGACUGAGUCUGACGCUGAGGCUCGAAAGCCAGGGUAGCGAACG